UGUGUAGGCGGUUGUCUAAGUUUGGUGUGAAAUCUCCCGGCUCAACCGGGAGGGUGCGCCGAAUACUGAAUGACUCGAGUGCGGGAGAGGAGAGUGGAAUUCCUGGUGUAGCGGUGAAAUGCGUAGAUAUCAGGAGGAACACCGGUGGUGUAGACGGCUCUCUGGACCGUAACUGACGCUGAGACACGAAAGCGUGGGUAGCAAACA
rnacentral:rRNA from 1 species